UACGGGGGGGGCAAGCGUUGUUCGGAAUUACUGGGCGUAAAGGGCGCGUAGGCGGUGCUCUAAGUUAGAUGUGAAAACUCUGGGCUCAACCCAGAGCCUGCAUCUAAAACUGGAGUGCUAGAGUUCUGGAGGGGGUAGCGGAAUUCCUGGUGUAGCGGUGAAAUGCGUAGAUAUCAGGGGGAACACCGGUGGCGAAGGCGGCUACCUGGACAGAAACUGACGCUGAGGCGCGAAAGCUAGGGGAGCAAACAGG
rnacentral:rRNA from 1 species